AUUGAACGCUGGCGGCAGGCCUAACACAUGCAAGUCGAACGAGUGGCGGACGGGUGAGUAAUGUCUGGGUAACUGCCCGAUGGAGGGGGAUAACCACUGGAAACUGUAGCUAAUACCGCAAACUCACGCAUGUGUCCAGAUGGGAUUAGCUAGUAGGUGAGGUAACGGCUCACCUAGGCCACGAUCCCUAGCUGGUCUGAGAGGAUGACCAGCCACACUGGAACUGAGACACGGUCCAGACUCCUACGGGAGGCAGCAGUGGGGAAUAUUGCACAAUGGGCGCAAGCCUGAUGCAGCCAUGCCGCGUGUAUGAAGAAGGCCUUCGGGUUGUAAAGUACUUUCAGCGAGGAGGCGUUACUCGCAGAAGAAGCACCGGCUAACUCCGUGCCAGCAGCCGCGGUAAUAC
rnacentral:rRNA from 1 species